UUAAUAAUGCAGAUGACCAAGGCUUUUUUCUUAAAGUAAGUAUCAAUAAAUUGUAGUGAAAGCACUGGAAUUCGCAGAAAAUAUGAUCUUGAUGUUCAGAACCGACAUUGGCAUUGUUUUGGGUGUUGGGCUGGCGAUUGUUGUCCUAUUUCUAUGGAUUAUCUUGGUUCCUAGGAUCACGAGAUUCAAACCAGUGUAUGUUAAAUGCGA